UACGGAGGGAGCUAGCGUUGUUCGGAAUUACUGGGCGUAAAGCGCACGUAGGCGGCUUUGUAAGUUAGAGGUGAAAGCCCGGGGCUCAACUCCGGAAUUGCCUUUAAGACUGCAUCGCUUGAAUCCGGGAGAGGUGAGUGGAAUUCCGAGUGUAGAGGGUGAAAUUCGUAGAUAUUCGGAAGAACACCAGUGGCGAAGGCGGCUCACUGGACCGGUAUUGACGCUGAGGUGCGAAAGCGUGGGGAGCAAACAGG
rnacentral:rRNA from 1 species